rnacentral:rRNA from 1 species
UAAGGCGGCCAUACCGGGAGGGCUCCACUCUUUUCCAUCCCGAACAAGAUAGUGAAAUCUCCCAGGGCCGAUGGUACUCGGGAAAAUUCCCGGGGAGAGUAGGUCGCCGCCUUAC